rnacentral:rRNA from 1 species
AAAUUGAAGAGUUUGAUCAUGGCUCAGAUUGAACGCUGGCGGCAGGCCUAACACAUGCAAGUCGAACGGUAACAGGAAACAGCUUGCUGUUUCGCUGACGAGUGGCGGACGGGUGAGUAAUGUCUGGGAAACUGCCCGAUGGAGGGGGAUAACUACUGGAAACGGUAGCUAAUACCGCAUAACGUCGCAAGACCAAAGAGGGGGACCUUCGGGCCUCUUGCCAU